rnacentral:rRNA from 1 species
CAAGCAGCGGAGCGUGUGGUUAAUUCGAUGCUACACGAAGAACCUUACCUGGGUUUGACAUAGAGGUAGUAGGGAAGCGAAAGCGGACCGACCCUUCGGGGAGCCUCUACAGGUGUUGCAUGGCUGUCGUCAGCUCGUGUCGUGAGAUGUUCGGUUAAGUCCGCUAACGAGCGCAACCCUCGCUGUGUGUUACAAGUGUCACACGGUACUGCCGAUAUUAAGUCGGAGGAAGGUGGGGAUGACGUCAAGUCAGCAUGACCUUUAUAUCCAGGGCUACACACACGCUACAAUGGCCAGUACAAUGGGUUGCCAAGCCGCGAGGCGGAGCCAAUCCUAAAAAGCUGGCCUCAGUUCAGAUUGCAGUCUGCAACUCGACUGCAUGAAGUUGGAGUUGCUAGUAACCGCAGGUCAGCAAUACUGCGGUGAAUACGUUCCCGGGGAUU